ACAGCAGGUAGGAGGGUCGGGUACUUCUAGCUGGCAUCAACCCUCUCAUCUGCUUGGUCACUGCUCCAUCUAGACAGCUGCUGUGUGGGUCUUCAGCCUCAGACCACUACCUGAGAUUCACAGUCCUGUUCAUGCACUCAGACAGAAGUCACUAUAAAAAAAUGGUCUCAUCCUUCUGUGCUGUGCGUCCCUAUGCGGGUAUUGUAUCAAGGAAAAAGGAGAGCUGAGUCAAAACUGAAUUCGGAACCCCUUAUGCUUUAUAAUUGCCAAUGUCCAACAAAAAUUUCUUAGAAUUUGUCUUCCAGCCUGCCUCCCAAAAAAACAUCUUACCUUUAGCAGACUAACCAAAUGUGCUAUUAAAACGAAAAAAAGAAGACAGUACUUAACAGAACCAUUCUGUGAAGGGGAAGGGAAGAAACCUUUCAUUAACGGAAAUGCAGUGGCUUAAAUCUACUAGAGAAUCUCGCUAUAAACUCAAUUACUUCACAAUUAUGUUGGGCCACCUGACAAUUCAGAAGAGAAGCAUUAACAUCUUAGUUGAGAAGAAUCUUUACAGGGACUGAAAUAUAACUUACUAUAAACUAUCUAACCUUACUAAUUAGAAACUAUUUCCAGAUUAAAUGCUUCAUGAAAAUGUCACAGUAAAAGUUACUGAUCAAAGGACAUAUACCAGCAAGGCAAUGCAGAACAGGAAAUGAAAUAC
rnacentral:lncRNA from 1 species